UAUUAACUAUGACUGUCGGGAAAGGCUCACAAGUUAGGAUAACACUCACAACAGUGGAGGUAAAGGAUUUAUUGACAUAUUGUGUAUGUCUUCAACCUGAACAUAGAAGAUAACAUAAUUGUUCAUGCUGAUGGUCGACUCACUUGUGAAAAGCUACUUUUGUUAAAAUGCCUGUUGCGUUUGGCGGUUUGAUAUCAGUUUGUCAGGUUGUCUCUGGAUUUUAAUGCAUGGAUGUUGCUCAUUUGGACAUGAAAAUUAUUUUAGAGCAUCAAAUGAUGGAUAAAUCAAUAAGAAUCCAUAACACAUCCAACGGGAAGUCGACCAUUCCAAAAAAACCCGAUCUCCCGCCAAAACCAAUUCUCAAUGCUUUACUCCAACCAAGCCCCAUUGGUUCCACUGGAAGAGUGGGCACCGCAGUGCCAAGGACGGGCAAGCAAAUGGCAGUAAACAGCAACAGAAAGGGAGGACACUCUGUGGGUUUGAGCCAAGAUGGAAGGACUUUGGUGUUUAAAACAAGAUUUAAAUGCCCAACCAUCAUAGAAGACCAAUUACAGGAUAUACCUUCAUUCUCAACAGUAAGAGAAAGUGGACAUACAUUAUGUAAUGAAAAAGAGAUUGCGAAGGAAAGUAAUCGUCAGCUGGCAAUGGACCAUGUGGACAUGGGUCGAUCAGCUCCUGAUGGUAGUGAAGUGAAUAUCUCAGUGAGUGGUACUAUGGAAAAUCAUCAGGACUCAACAGCGCCACCAAUCCCUUCAGAGGAGAAACACUGUCACUGCAUCUGCCACCUUCACAGACCUGGCAUGAAACUGGUCUGGGUGCCUCUACAGGAGGCUGAAAAAAACAGCAUGGAUACUGUGAGCAAAAAGACAAAUAAUGAAUUUCGAAACAGGGGAAGUCAAAGAAAUGAGUUUCCAAGAAAGAAUGAUAUUUUAAACCCAACCAGCAAUGAAGAACGUAGGCCACAUAGAAAUCCAUCUCAGCACCUCGAAGCACAAGCAUUUCCUCCUUGUUUAAAUUGCCAAAGCUUUUUACUUCACCACAGCCCUCAUAAAUUAGCUUACAAUGGGUUAGUGUUUGAUAAUGAGUCAUUUCAAAAAACCUCAACCCCCCCUGUACCAGCAAAGACAUAUCACUCAUCUCAAAAUAACCAGCAGUAUGCACAGCUUGAACAAACCGAUGCUCAUAUAUACUUGGAUCUUCUACCAUCAAUUGAGAAUGCUCCCGCUGUGCCCCCUCGACCUCCACCACGGCCUGCGCCCAAGCAGAAGAGAGAGCGACGGUCUACUCAGGCAGCGCUGGCUUAUGUGGUCUCUCCUCGAGGAGGCCAUCUGCCAAUCAGAAACAGCAGCAGCUGUGAGGCUAGAAGAUUUUCUUGCCCCAUAUCUAAGUCAAACCUAUCAGAUGCAAGCUAUAAGAAUGGUGAUUCCGAAGACUGGGAGACUAUUGAUGAAAAAGAGCUGUGUAACAAUACAGAAAGCCCACGGAGGAUUUCUAGUGACUGGGAACCAAACAGUGACUAUGAACCUCUAUAUCAGAUCUACCAGGAGAAGGUCUCUGAAGAAGCAAGCCAGAUGCAGACUGAUAGUCCUGAUUGCAACAGGAGAAGUGUUAGUGAAACUUUGGGUCUUGAAGGUCCUGGAGGACUGGGCACCCGAUCCAAAAGAGGCCCUCAAGAGAGUACACUAUGGCAGGACUUACCGGUGGUGAAGGAAAGUGGAAUGUUGCAGAAACUCUCUCGCACUGAAAGACAUAGACAAGAGAGCAUGUAUGAGGUGCUGACCACGGAGGCCUCUUAUCUGCGCUCCCUGCGAGUUCUAAAGGAUCACUUCCUGGGUUCACGGGAACUCAAUGAUACUCUGGUCAUCCACGAUAAGAAGGCCCUCUUCUCCAACAUCCUGCAGGUUUAUGAGGUCAGCGAGAGAUUUAUAGGUGAUCUGCAGAAACGAGUAGACGAGAGUGUGGUGAUAUCUGAUGUGUGUGACAUCAUUUAUGAGCACUCAGAGAAGUAUUUCUCCGUCUUCACUGACUAUGUCCGAAAUCAGCAGUACCAAGAGAAGACCUACAGCAGACUAAUGGAGAGUAACAGAGAUUUUUUAGUUGUGAUGAGGCGUCUGGAGUCGUCUACUCUCUGCAACCGGCUGCCCUUCACAUCCUUCUUGCUUCUACCCUUCCAGCGAAUCACACGCAUUAAAAUACUUUUACAGAAUAUUCUAAAGAGGACUGCAAAGGACACUAAAGAGGAACAAACUGCUUCCAGUGCCCUGGCUUCAGUGUCUGAGCUCAUCAGACAGGCGAACACACAGGUGGGGCAGAUAAAACAGAUAGAGGAGCUGAUAGACAUCUCUAACGUACUGGAGUUUGAUAAGCUCAAGGCCAUUCCUAUUGUCUCUAAAACACGCUGUCUAGAGAAACGGGGAGAACUACAAGAGCUGAGUAAAAGAGGGUCUCUCUUCAGCAUCCGUAACAAAUGCACCCCUGUUUACAUGUUCCUCUUCAAUGAUCUCCUCAUAAUCACCACUAAAAAGAGCAAUCCAGAAAGGUUUGUAGUGAUCGAUCACGCCCAUCGCUCUCUGGUCCAGGUGCAGGUGCCAGAGGCCGGGCCUGGGCCACAACUGGAUCACUCUUUCUGUCUGACCCUUUUGGAAAACCAUCGGGGUAACACCUGUGAACACCUGCUCAAGGCCAACACAGAGUCAGAUAUGCAUAGGUGGAUAGCUGCAUUCCCCUCCAUCAAUGUAGCACUUAGAGAGGAGAAAAUUUAUGAGGACUGGGACUGUCCUCAGGUGCAGUGCAUCAGUCAAUACAUAGCAAAACAGGCAGACGAGCUUAGCCUGGAACCACCUGAUGUCAUCAAUGUACUGCGCAAAACCAGUGAAGGUUGGUAUGAAGGUAUGCGUCUCUCCGACAGAAAGAGGGGUUGGUUUCCAGCAGAGAAUGUAUUAGAAGUGACCACCGAUCACCAGAGACGACGCAAUAUGUCCAGGAGGAACAAGAGAAUUAUUUAGAAGGAGGAGGUAUCUGAAGAAGAUGGGGAAGAAUACAACCCAGACGCAUCAUCUUCAGAUGAAGAAGAAAUCCCCCAAGCUGAGAGAGACAUUUUUGUCAAAGAACAGCAAAAUAACAUGGUCCUUGUCACCAUAUGACAACCAGGGCAGGAUGGCAGCACAAAAUGUCAUAAGGGAUGACCCCAGGGCCCACAAGACAUGCAGUUGCCCAUGCCCAGGACAUCGCCUCAACAUUCUACAUGUUCAUCACACCAGCCAUCGAAAAAAUAAUCCUAGAGAUGACAAAUUUGGAGGGUUUCCGUAAAUAUUGAGACAACUGGAAAAGGAUGGAUGAGAUUGACCUGCGUGCCUACAUAGGGCUGCUAAUCUUAGCAGGUGUGUAUAGGUCCCGAGGUGAGGCUACAUGUUGUCUCUGGGACGCAGAGAGUGGAAGGGGCGAUUUUCCGUGCCACGAUGCCACUGAAAGUCUUUCACACUUUCUCAAGAAUGCUACGAUUUGAUAACUGUGAGUCAGGAACUGCAAGAUGUGUGAGAAACAAACUGGCAGCCGUAAGAGAGGUCUGGAAGUGGGUGGAGCGCCUGCCAUACCUCUACAACCCUGGGCCUGAAGUAACAGUGGAUGAGCAACUGGUUCCAUUCAGAGGUCGCUGUCCUUUCCGGCAGUAUAUGCCCAACAAGCCAACAAAGUAUGGCAUCAAGAUAUGGGUGGCCUGUAAUGCACAAUCCAGCUACGCUUGGAAGAUGCAAAUCUACACAGGAAGCUGACCAGUGGAGGCCCGGAGAAGAUCCAGGGGAUACAGGUUGUGCUUGAUGUGACAGAUGGACUGAGGGGGCACAAUGUCACAUGACAAUUCCUUCAACUCUUAUGAACUCAGCCAGCAGCUCCUGAAGAGGAAGAUCGCCAUGGUUGGCACAGUUAGAAAGAACAAGCCUGAGCUCCCCCCUGCACACCUCGCAACAAGUGGGAGAGAGGCCUUCAAAGUUUGCCAUCAACCCCACCACCACUCUAGUUUCUUACCUUCCAAAGAGGAACAAGAAUGUGGUCCUCCUGAGCACACGACACAAAACGGCUAAGAUCAGUGAUCGUGAGGAAAGGAAGCCAGCCAACAUCCUGGACUACAACCACAACAAAGGAAGCGUGGACAACCUGGAUAAGGUGAUUGGAACUUACAGCAGCAGGAGGAUGACUUCCCGCUGGCCCCUGGUCAUCUUCCAUAACAUCAUUGAUGUGUCCUCAUACAAUCCCUUCGUGAUAUGGAACAAGAUCAACCCUACCUGGAUGCCUGAUAAACGGAAGAGGAGGGUGUUCCUGGAGCAGCUGUUAAAGGCACUUGUAACCCCACACAUUCAAAGAAGGGAGCGCCUCCCGCACUGCAGCCUGCAGCACUUGUGAAAGCUGUUCAGGAGGCUGAAUCUUGUCCUGAUCCACCUGACGCUGCAGCUGGGGCAGGCAAGAGGAGGAGAUGCCAAUUCUGCCCCUCAAAGAAAGACUGUAAAACAAAUACUAUGUGCUGCACAUGUGAGAAAUACAUCUGCAAAGUCCAUGCACACACAAUUGCAUACUGUCCUACAUGUGCUAAUUAGAGUUGAUUGCUUUAUGUUCUUCAAGUUUUUGUUUUGUAUCUAUUAUCUUAUUUUAUUCUUAUUUAUUGUUGUUGUUUAUACACCUUGUGGGUGGGGGCAAUGAUUCGAAAAAUGGGUAUUUUGUAGUUGAAUUCCUCAUUGUACAGUAUAUCACUAUGUUGCCAAAAAAGUUCAAGACUGUUAUUGUUUCCCUUCAAUAAAAUGCAUUCAAAACUACUUUCUGCACAUUUCUGCUACUUUCUUAGGCUAUACAAGUGCUAUCUCUUGCUAAACAAUUAAUGUUUACACCUAUGCAGUAUCUUUAGCAAUAAUAAUAAUAAACCUCUACUUUAGUAAAGAAAACAAUUAUGACAGGUGUGUUGUAAUAAAAACGAGUGGUGUCCACUGAUUAAAUGGAGUCUUUCUGCACUGUGAAGAGGUAAAACCCCACAUAUUCACAAAGUUUGUGAUGAAUGACAGGUUGUUUCUUCAUGCAAAAUAGAUUUGGGGUUUAAAAUUCAAUUAAGCUGCUUUGUUUUAGGGGUUUGGUGAAGGUGGGUCAUUUUUGACCAUUAGGACAUGGGGAGUAUACAGAAUGUUAAGACUACACAAGGGUUAAGCAGCUUGGAAAAUUCCAGAAAAUGAUGUCAAGCCUUUAGACAAUUACCUGUGGAUAUGUUUUAAGGCCUAUCUUAAACUCAGUGCCUCUUUGCUUGACAUCAUGGGAAAAUCAAAAGAACCUCAAAGAAAAAAAAAAAAAGAAAAAAAAAAAAUUGUGGACCUCCACAAGUCUGGUUCAUUUUUGGGGGCAAUAUCCAAAUGCCUGAAGGUACCACGUUCAUCUGUACAAACAAUAGUACGCAAGAAUAAACACCAUGGGACCACGCAGCCAUCAUACCACUCAGGAAAGAGACGCAUUCUGUCUCCUAGAGAUGAACGUAGUUUGGUGCGAAAAGUGCAAAUCAAUCCCAGAACAACAGCAAAAGGACCUUGUGAAGAUGUUGGAGGAAACAGGUAGACAAGUAUCUAUAUCCACAGUAAUACGAGUCCUAACGUCAACAUAAACUGAAAGGCUGCUCAGCAAGGAAGAAGCCUUGCUGAGCAUAAACCUGACAUAAAAAAAGCCAGACUACAGUUUGCAAGUGCACAUGGGGACAAAGAUCAGAUUUUUUGGAGAAAUUUCCUCUGGUUUGAUGAAAUAUUGAACUGUUUGGCCAUAAUGACCAUUGUUAUGUUUGGAAGAAAAAGGAUGAGGCUUGCAAGCCGAAGAACACCAUCUCAAACGUGAAGAAAGGGGUGGCAGCAUCAUGUUGUGGGGGUGCUUUGCUGCAGGAGGGACUGGUGCACUUCACAAAAUAGAUGGCAUCAUGAGGAAGGAAUAUGAUGUGGAUAUAUUGAAGCAACAUCUCAAGACAUCAGCCAGGAAGUUAAAGCUCGGUCGCAAAUGGGUCUUCCAAAAUGGACAAUGACCCCAAGCAUACCUCCAAAGUUGUGGCAAAAUGGCUUAAGGAUAACAAAGUCAAAGUAUUGAAGUGGCCAUCACAAAGCCCUGACCACAGUCUGAUAGGAAAUUUGUGGACAGAACUGAAAAAGCAUGUGCAAGCAAGAGGCCUACAAACCUGACUCAGUUUCACCAGUUCUGUCUGGAGGAAUGGGCCAAAAUUCCAGCAACUUAUUGUGAGAAGCUCAUGGAAGGCUACCCAAAACAUUUGACCCAAGUUAAACAAUUUAAAGGCAAUGCUACCAAAUACUAACUAAGUGUAUGUAAACUUCUGACCCACUGGAAAUACGAUGAAAGAAAUAAGCUGAAAUAAAUCAUCCUCUCAACUAUUAUUCUGACAUUUCACAUUCUUAAAAUAGUGAUAGUAAUUGACCUAAGACAGGGAAUGUUUUCUAUGAUUAAAUGUCAGGAAUUGUGAAAAACUGAGUUUAAAUGUAAUUGGCUAAGGUGUAUGUAAACUUCUGACUUCAACUGUAUAUACAACUGAAGCCAUACAAAAGCACUGUGAGAGGAACUCAAAUUUAAGCCAAUAAUCUCACAAAUCUCAUUUGCACUAGUUAUCGAUUCAAAAAUGCUGCAGCACAUUAAAUGGAAAAGAGAUUUGAACUUGGUAUUGGAAGAUGGGGAGUGGGAAAGAAUUUUAGAAGAUGUUAAAACUGUCUAUGGAUGCAAGGGUACGCCUUAUUCAGUUUAAGAUUUUGCAUUGUUUCUAUUGGACUCCCUCAAAAUUGUUUAGGCUUGGUUUUAAAGACACACCUACCAUGUCAGUUGGAGGAUGGCGAUAUAGCCCAUGCUCUGUGGUUCUGCGCUAAGAUACAAGAAUUCUGGGUAAGAGUCCAGAAUUUUAUCUGAGGCUCUAGAUACUCAAAUUUCACUCUGCCCUAGACUAUGUUUAUUGGGUGAUGGGCGGUCAUUAAAGUAGGUGAAAUAUAUAACAAAAAAAAAAAAAAACUGGGUCCAAACUAGUGUAAUGAUUGGCAGACAGAUAAUUUAGAGGAUGGAAGUCAAAAGGUGCUCCCUCAUUUCAAGAAUGGUUCACUGAAUUGGGCAGGGUGGCGACAUUUGAAAAGAUGUCUUAUAAACAGCUUGGCAGAUCAGAAGUCUACGGUAAGAAAUGGGGCAAAUACUAGACGUUUCUGGAAGGCUCUGAACCAUUUGGAGAGAAACGUGAUUGUGAUUGAAUUUGUAAAUUGUAUCCUUUGUGGAAUUCUUUCUUUUCUCCUCUUUAUUUGUUGAUUUUGUAUUUUUAUGUAUUUUUUUUGUUUGCGCGUGUGUGUGUGUGUGUGUGUGUGUGUGUGUGUGUGUG